CCUACGGGAGGCAGCAGUGGGGAAUAUUGGACAAUGGGCGAAAGCCUGAUCCAGCCAUGCCGCGUGUGUGAAGAAGGCCUUCGGGUUGUAAAGCACUUUCAGUGGGGAAGAAAGCCUUGGGGCUAAUACCCUCGAGGAAGGACAUCACCCACAGAAGAAGCACCGGCUGAACUCCGUGCCAGCAGCCGCGGUAAUACGGAGGGUGCGAGCGUUAAUCGGAAUUACUGGGCGUAAAGCGCGCGUAGGCGGUCUGAUAAGCCGGUUGUGAAAGCCCCGGGCUCAACCUGGGAACGGCAUCCGGAACUGUCAGGCUAGAGUGCAGGAGAGGAAGGUAGAAUUCCCGGUGUAGCGGUGAAAUGCGUAGAGAUCGGGAGGAAUACCAGUGGCGAAGGCGGCCUUCUGGACUGACACUGACGCUGAGGUGCGAAAGCGUGGGUAGCAAACAGGAUUAGAUACCCGAGUAGUC
rnacentral:rRNA from 1 species